rnacentral:misc_RNA from 1 species
UUAGAAGAGUUACAGGGCUCAUGCCGAGCAAUGAAACCCUUAAACCCAAUGUGAACCUACCAAGCGUUGCUUCGGCGGGCGGCCCCGGGGGGGCCCUCUGGCCCAUCAUGGUGCCCGCCGACAGUAUCGAGAAAAAACUCAUUUUAGAAUUUCUAGCGGAAUGUCUUCUGAGUGCAAAAUUUUUUUUUGCAGAAACGAGUCA